CAGCAGUAGCCGCGGGAAUACGAAGGGGGCUAGCGUUGUUCGGAAUUACUGGGCGUAAAGCGCACGUAGGCGGAUAUUUAAGUCAGGGGUGAAAUCCCGCAGCUCAACUGCGGAACUGCCUUUGAUACUGGGUAUCUUGAGUAUGGAAGAGGUUAGUGGAAUUGCGAGUGUAGAGGUGAAAUUCGUAGAUAUUCGCAGGAACACCAGUGGCGAAGGCGGCUAACUGGUCCAUAACUGACGCUGAGGUGCGAAAGCGUGGGGAGCAAACAGGAUUAGAUACCCGUGUAGUCCCUGUCUCUUAUAU
rnacentral:rRNA from 1 species